AAUAGAGUGACUGAAAAUUUAGGUGAUAAAUUGUAAAUUUAUUUAUGGCUUUAUAGCCCUCUAUUA
rnacentral:tRNA from 1 species